rnacentral:ncRNA from 10 species
AUCGUUCAAUUUGCCUUAGGCAAAUCGGAAGUAGGUUUAUACCGAAGGAACGCGGA